UGAAUGAAAUAUCACUGCAGAGCCUGUGCUGAAGCAAAUCGUUGAUUCGGUGGUGGUUCAGCUCUUGGAACUCAAGUGGCCUGGCUUUCCAAAAGGAAAAAUCUGAAGACAAGUCUCAAAAUGUUUAAAACUCUCUGCUCUAAAAAGUGUGAAGCAGUUCAUCCGUAAACUGUACUUCAAAUAAUCCCAAACAUUAUAAUCUAAAAAGGUAUUUUGUACGUGCUACCAUAGCUUUGCUUGGAGAGCUGUGGAGGGGUCACACAAAGUACCCCAGAAGCGUUGAUGUCUGGCCCUGCUGUGGCUGUGCGAUUCCUCUGCCUGGUCCUGGUGCAAGACACUAUAUAUCGAGAACUGCUUUGCCUCUUGUGUCAACAAGCUGAUGACUUUGCUGUGGAGUUAUUGCAAUCACAGCUCAGCAUCUCUCCACUUGGGUUUGGUACCCCUAAGGGAAAUGAGAGAGCUCUUGCAGAGUGCCUGUGGGCUAGGCAAGAAUUUACCCUUCCUUGGUGAGUGAUAGAGAUCAUGAUUGCUUAGGUUACAAACUCAUUCCGGUAUAAUGAUGUGGAGACUAUUGCCGGGUGCAACCUGUCUGCAUGGGGGAAGAGUUUCUAACCUAAGCAAUCACGAUUUUUAUCACACACCUUCAUCAUCAUCUUCAUCAUCAUCAUGCUUCCCACAAAAACCAGGGGCAAACAGAUGAAGUAAAAUAGCACCCAUAAAUAAAAACAAAUAAAAUCAUUAUACUUGGG